rnacentral:rRNA from 1 species
UACGUAGGAUGCAAGCGUUGUCCGGAUUUACUGGGCGUAAAGCGCGCGCAGGCGGCAGUGUAAGUAAGGUGUGAAAUCUCCCUGCUCAACGGGGAGGGUGCACUUUAGACUACACAGCUAGAGGUCGGUAGAGGGGGGUGGAAUUGCUGGUGUAGCAGUGAAAUGCGUAGAGAUCAGCAGGAACACCCGUGGCGAAGGCGGCCCCCUGGGCCGUACCUGACGCUGAGGCGCGAAGGCUAGGGGAGCGAACGGG